GACAACCUGCAGUGCCUUAGCUGUGGCGGAACAUCACUAAAGAACUGGCCCAGGAUGGUAGACUUUAUAUGUUUCUCAAAACACCACAUUACACACAAAGUCAUAGACCUGAAUACAAUUAAGGACACCACACACAGUUCAUACAAGCCUCCACAGCUCCAUGCUUAAGCCAAUCUUAAGGAAAAUAAGAAGUCAGACACAGCACAAAGUGAAUCUUGCAGAGUCUAAAAUUUUACUAGAAUCAGUAACCUGCUGGUGAAAUCCUGAUUUGAGCGUGCCCAAGUCAAAUGAGAGCGAAGCAGUGUGUGUGAUCUGGAUUCUAAAACAGUUCAAGAAACAGAAGUGAUAAGAUGUAGCACAGUACCUUCGUUACUCCCUAUGAUCUCACCCUCUCGCAAACAACAGUGGUCUCCCAGCCGCCCUGUAGCAGGACUGGGCACUGCACUGCAAGCAGCUGGACAAACACCUACUGUAACUGAACAGGAGGCUAUCUUGUCUGACUUCCCUCCGCUCCCCUUUUCACAAUCUGGUUUCUUAAAGGAAAUCAGAUUUAGGCAAUCGCUUUGUGCGGGCAGGAGCCUGACGGAUGUGCGUAUGCACAUGUGGACGUCUGUCUGUCUGACUGCACUGACACCUUCUCAGCCCAUCAGCCAAUUUCAAUCACGUCUGAGAGAAAAGAGAAGAGAAGAGAAGAGAAGAGAAGAGAAGAGAAGAGAAGAGAAGAGAAGAGAAGAGAAGAGAAGAGAAGAGAAGAGAAGAGAAGAGAAGAGAAGAGAAGAGAAGAGAAGAGAAGAGAAGAGAAGAGAAGAGAAGAGAAGAGAAGAGAAGAGAAGAGAAGAGAAGAGAAGAGAAGAGAAGAGAAGAGAAGAGAAGAGAAGAGAAGAGAAGAGAAGAGAAAGCAGGCAUUUGGGUCGUUGAAAGUUUCAUGAGAGCAGGCUGCAGCACACAGAGCAGUGCCUCCCCAGAGGGACAGGCUAUGUAUCCUAUUGGAUGCCAGUGAAAUCCCAGAGAAAGAAUCGUGCUGCUGCUCUCCUGCCCACAGGAAAACCUCCAGCCAGAGGUCACAGCCAGCCAAAGAUGACCGGAUUUCUUCCGCUCAAGUGUUCAGAGAAGAGCUUACACUGAAUCCAUCGCUACUAUUUAAGUGGUGCUCUGAACAGAG